AAACUUUCAACAACGGAUCUCUUGGUUCUGGCAUCNAUGAANAACGCAACAAAAUGCGAUAAGUAAUGUGNAUUGCAGAAUUCAGCGAAUCAUCGAAUCUUUGAACGCACAUUGCGCCCCCNGGCAUUCCGGGGGGCAUGUCUGUCCGAGCGUCGNGAAACA
rnacentral:rRNA from 1 species